rnacentral:rRNA from 1 species
GUGGGGAAUAUUGGACAAUGGGGGGAACCCUGAUCCAGCCAUGCCGCGUGUGUGAAGAAGGCCUUUUGGUUGUAAAGCACUUUAAGCGAGGAGGAGGCUACCGAGAUUAAUACUCUUGGAUAGUGGACGUUACUCGCAGAAUAAGCACCGGCUAACUCUGUGCCAGCAGCCGCGGUAAUACAGAGGGUGCAAGCGUUAAUCGGAUUUACUGUGCGUAAAGCGCGCGUAGGUGGCCAAUUAAGUCAAAUGUGAAAUCCCCGAGCUUAACUUGGGAAUUGCAUGCGAUACUGGUAGGGUAGAGUAUGGGAGAGGAUGGUAGAAUUCCAGGUGUAGCGGUGAAAUGCGUAGAGAGCUGGAGGAAUACCGAUGGCGAAGGCAGCCAUCUGGCCUAAUACUGACACUGAGGUGCGAAAGCAUGGGGAGCAAACAGGAUUAGAUACCCUAGUAGUCC